ACAUAGGCAUUCUCUAUUUUCAAAAUGAUGACUUUUUAGGAGAUAUGCACAUAAACUGGACUCCGGCAUUAUUUGAGUUUCAAGAUUUACAUCUAAGACUAUAAUGCAUCUUGAAUUAUGUCAUACUGUAAAAGGUUUUGUCAGUCUAUGAUAUACAAGACUGUUUCCGACUCAUUCCCUGGAUGCUGGACUUCCUAGAGGCAAUCAACAUCUCUACAAAUGAAAGCAAAUUGCAUUAUGGUCACACAAUACUGCCUUACAGUUAACGCAAUGGCAGAGGAUAUGACACAGGUGCAGGCAGUAUGAUGGAGAAACAAAACAUUUAAGUUUCUGCUCUGCGGGCGAUGGCUUGCUAAUGAGUAUUUUACAGGUGCAGAAAUGAAGCCUUGGGGAUGCUCAAUAACUUCUCCAGAUCACACAAGCAAAAGCUACAGAAGGCUCGAGGCAAUGACUGUCUGAGCUCAGCCUCCAAAAUUAACUUCCAUGUGCUUUCCACUUGUUCUCUCAAAUUCAUGCUCAAAGUAGUGUUUCAAUGGU
rnacentral:sRNA from 1 species